GACCUCUAAUCGGAAAAGACUACCCGCUGAGUUUAAGCAUAUCAAUAAGCGGAGGAA
rnacentral:rRNA from 2 species